UACAACGGAGUGUUUGGCCCCAUGUCCACAACGUUUCCUUUGCAGGCAAAUGUUUUCAUCGUGGGGUUGAAGGUUUCUAAUAAAUCCACCGAUUAAGCCAAACUCUUCCGACCUUUGAUAUUCAAUUCCUGGAGCUUAAAGCCAGCUGGGCCCAUUAGAUCCUCUAGUCCGACCUGGACAACACAAGCCGUUGCAUUUCGCCCAGCUGCCCCUGUGCUGGGCCCAGUUCUCUGUGCUUGUUUUCAUGGGGCUCCUGGGAAGACACCGCGCUUGGCUUCUUACCAUUCCUGCCUGGAUUUCACACGACUGAAAACCUAGAGCGGCUGCUCCCAAGAGGCGAAAGGCUUAAGGAGCAAUUUUUCACAGUUUCGCACAUUGACAAAGCAGCGGGGAAUUUAUUCUUUACGUUCUUGUAGGCGAACAAUAGUCGCACUGUGCCGGGACGCUGGCUUCCCAGUGGCUGUCGGGCACGUGGCACGAAACACGACCUGUUUGCCCUUGCAAUGGGCGUCGGUCAUCGGACUGGAAGGGACCUUGAGAGGUCAUCGAGUCCGUCCCCUGCACUCAUCAAAAGGAAGCGUUAACAUGCGCGGGUGUUUGUGGAGAGCUGCGUGGCCAGUGAUACGAAUGUUAAAUGCAUCCAAAGGAUUAUCAACGCUGGCUGACCCAACGGCUGGAGCACAGGACUGGCAGCUGCGACCCGUGAGCUGACUGUAAACGUCUGGACACACAGUUUCUUCUUUUCCCACACACUUUGCCCUAACACAUUCCAUUUCCUUUCCUUAAACUUGUCUGGUCCACAUCCUCUUCUGCAGUGCUCCUGGGAAGCCAGGAGACGAUACUUCUAUUUUUCCA